rnacentral:rRNA from 1 species
AUUGAACGCUGGCGGCAGGCCUAACACAUGCAAGUCGAGCGGAUGAAGGGAGCUUGCUCCUGGAUUCAGCGGCGGACGGGUGAGUAAUGCCUAGGAAUCUGCCUGGUUGUGGGGGAUAACGUCCGGAAACGGGCGCUAAUACCGCAUCCGUCCUGAUGGAGAAAGUGGGGGAUCUUCGGACCUCACGCUAUCAGAUGAGCCUAGGUCGGAUUAGCUAGCUUGUGGGGUAAUGGCCUACCAAGGCGAAGAUCCGUAACUGGUCUGAGAGUAUGAUCAGUCACACUGGAAGUGAGACAGGGUCCCGACUCCUACGGGAGGCAGCAGUCGGGAAUAUUGGGCAAUGGGCGAAAGCCUGAUCCAGCCAUGCCGCGUGUGUGAAGAAGGUCUUCGGAUUGUAGAGCACUUUAAGUUGGGAGGAAGGGCAGUACGUUAAUACCUGACUGUUUUGACGUUACCAAAAAAAUAAGCACCGGCUAACUUCGUG